rnacentral:rRNA from 1 species
UAAUACGAAGGUGGCAAGCGUUGUUCGGAAUUAUUGGGCAUAAAGGGCAUGUAGGCGGAGAAGCAAGUCGGUGGUGAAAGCCCUCGGCUCAACCGAGGAAUUGCCUCCGAAACUUCUUCUCUAGAGUACAGGAGGGGAGAGUGGAACUCUUGGUGGAGCGGUGAAAUGCGUUGAUAUCAAGGGGAACGCCGGCGGCGAAAGCGACUCUCUGGCCUGUUACUGACGCUGAGGUGCGAAAGCUAGGGGAGCGAACGGGAUUAGAUACCCCGGUAGUCCUAGCCGUAAACGAUGGGCACUAAGUAGAGGGGGUUCCGAUGCCUUCUCUGCCGGAGCAAAUGUAUUAAGUGCCCCGCCUGGGGAGUAUGGUCGCAAGGCUG